rnacentral:rRNA from 1 species
AUUGAACGCUGGCGGCAGGCCUAACACAUGCAAGUCGAGCGGAUGAAGGGAGCUUGCUCCUGGAUUCAGCGGCGGACGGGUGAGUAAUGCCUAGGAAUCUGCCUGGUAGUGGGGGAUAACGUCCGGAAACGGGCGCUAAUACCGCAUACGUCCAGAGGGAGAAAGUGGGGGAUCUUCGGACCUCACGCUCUCAGAUGAGCCUAGGUCGGAUUAGCUAGUUGGUGGGGUAAAGGCCUACCAAGGCGACGAUCCGUAACUGGUCUGAGAGGAUGAUCAGUCACACUGGAACUGAGACACGGUCCAGACUCCUACGGGAGGCAGCAGUGGGGAAUAUUGGACAAUGGGCGAAAGCCUGAUCCAGCCAUGCCGCGUGUGUGAAGAAGGUCUUCGGAUUGUAAAGCACUUUAAGUUGGGAGGAAGGGCAGUAAGUUAAUACCUUGCUGUUUUGACGUUACCAACAGAAUAAGCACCGGCUAACUUCGUG